rnacentral:rRNA from 1 species
CACAUGCAAGUCGAGCGGUAACAGAUCCAGCUUGCUGGAUGCUGACGAGCGGCGGACGGGUGAGUAAUGCAUAGGAAUCUGCCCAGUNGUUGGGGAUAGCCCGGGGAAACCCGGAUUAAUACCGAAUACGCCCUACGGGGGAAAGCAGGGGAUCUUCGGACCUUGCGCUAUUGGAUGAGCCUAUGUCGGAUUAGCUAGUUGGUGGGGUAAUGGCUUACCAAGGCGACGAUCCGUAGCUGGUCUGAGAGGAUGAUCAGCCACAUCGGGACUGASACACGGCCCGAACUCCUACGGGAGGCAGCAGUGGGGAAUAUUGGACAAUGGGGGCAACCCUGAUCCAGCCAUGCCGCGUGUGUGAAGAAGGCUUUCGGGUUGUAAAGCACUUUCAGUGAGGAGGAAAACCUUACGAUUAAUACUCGUGAGGCUUGACGUUACUCACAGAAGAAGCACCGGCUAACUCCGUGCCAGCAGCCGCGGUAAUACGGAGGGUGCAAGCGUUAAUCGGAAUUACUGGGCGUAAAGCGCGCGUAGGUGGUUCGAUAAGCGAGAUGUGAAAGCCCCG